rnacentral:rRNA from 1 species
GACGAACGCUGGCGGCGUGCUUAACACAUGCAAGUCGAACGGAAAGGCCCUGCUUUUGUGUGGUUCUCGAGUGGCGAACGGGUGAGUAACACGUGAGUAACCUUCCCUUGACUUUGGGAUAACUUCAGGAAACUGGGGCUAAUACCGGAUAGGAGCUCCUGCUGCAUGGUGGGGGUUGGAAAUUUUAGGCGGUUGGGGAUGGACUGGCGGCUUAUCAGCCUGUUGGUGGGGUAGUGGCUUACCAAGGCUUUGACGGGUAGCCGGCCUGAGAGGGUGACCGGCCACAUUGGGACUGCGAUAGGGCCCAGACUCCUACGGGAGGCAGCAGGGGGGAAUAUUGCACAAUGGGCGGAAGUCUGAUGCAGCAACGCCGCGUGCGGGAUGCCGGCCUUCGGGUGGUAAACCGCUUUAGCCUGUGACGAAGCGUGAGUGACGGUAAUGGGUAAAGAAGCACCGGCUAACUACGUG